rnacentral:rRNA from 1 species
UUGGAGGGCAAGUCUGGUGCCAGCAGCCGCGGUAAUUCCAGCUCCAAUAGCGUAUAUUAAAGUUGUUGCAGUUAAAAGCUCGUAGUUGAAUUUUGGGAUCAAUAUGUUGGUCGUGCCUUGGUACGUACUAUCUUAUUGGUUUCUCCCUUCUGACGAACCAUGAUGUCAUUAAUUUGAUGUCAUGGGGAAUCAGGACUGUUACUUUGAAAAAUUGUGUUUAAAGCAGGCUCACGCUUGAAUAUAUUAGCAUGGAAUAAUGAAAUAGGACGUUUGAUUCUAUUUUGUUGGUUUUUAGGAUCGAUGUAAUGAUUAAUAGGGAUAGUUGGGGGCAUUAGUAUUCAAUUGUCAGAGGUGAAAUUCUUGGAUUUAUUGAAGACUAACUACUGCGAAAGCAUUUGCCAAGGAUGUUUUCAUUAAUCAAGAACGAAAGUUAGGGGAUCGAAGACGAUCAGAUACCGUCGUAGUCUUAACCAUAAACCAUGCCGACUAGGGAUCGGAUGAUGUAAUUUUAA